rnacentral:rRNA from 1 species
AAACUAAUUUAAUUUGGCGGCAUUUCAUCUAAUUAGAGGAAUCUGUCCUUUAAUCGAUAACCCACGCUAAAUUUCACUUUAAUCUCAAACUUAUAUACCUCCAUUUAAAGAAUUAAUUCAAAAACAUUACUCUUAAAAAUAAAUAAAAAAUUAGGUCAAGGUGUAAUUUAUAUUAAAGAAUGAGAUGUAUUACACUAAAUAUAAUUUAAAGAUUAUUAAUAAAUAUACUUAUUUAAAUAAGAAUUUAAAAGUAAUAUUCUAAUAAUAAUAUAAUAUGAUAUAAAUAAUAAAUGUGUACACAUCGCCC